UACAUGGGGUGCAAACGUUGCUCGGAAUUAUUGGGCGUAAAGCGCACGUAGGUGGUUCGUUAUGUCGGAUGUGAAAGCCCUCGGCUCAACUGAGGAAGUGCAUCCGAAACUGGCGAGCUAGAGUAUGUAAGAGGGUCGCGGAAUUCCCGGUGUAGAGGUGAAAUUCGUAGAUAUCGGGAGGAACACCGGUGGCGAAGGCGGCGACCUGGGACAAUACUGACACUGAGGUGCGAAAGCGUGGGGAGCGAACAGG
rnacentral:rRNA from 1 species